AAGAAGUUCGUCCCCUUUGUGAGGCCCGGGAUGGGAGGCGCCCGGUUCCCCCAGGGGCAGCUUCAAGCGGUAGGGACAGACAUCUGAGGACCCAGCCUCAGGGAUGCUGUCCCCGGGCUUCCAGGCUCCAGCGCCGUAGGACUGAGGCAGACUCCACGGGAGAUCUGAAUUGGGGUGAAGAGCAGAAUCUCCAGAACAAGGAGGAGGUGGUGAUCAUGGAGACAGAUUUGGCUGAAAUGCCUGAGAAAGGAGCUCUGUCUUCCCAGGAUUCUCCCCAUUUCCAAGAGAAGAGCACAGAAGAGGGAGAAGUGGCUGCUCUGCGCCUCACGGCCAGAUCCCAGGAAACAGUGACAUUCAAGGAUGUGGCCAUGGACUUUACACCAGAGGAGUGGGGGAAGCUGGAUCCUGCACAAAGGGAUGUGAUGCUGGAGAACUAUAGGAACCUAGUCUCACUUUGGCUUCCAGUUUCCAAACCUGAGAACUACAACUUGGAGAAUGGAAAAGAACCAUUGAAGCUUGAGAGAAAAGCCCCCAAAAGCAGCUAUUCAGAAAACUGAUUAUAUUCCUGGUCCCUGAACGAUCCUAUAGAGACAUCCAGUCCCUGACUCCACCUGCCUCCAGGUGCCCAGAA
rnacentral:sRNA from 1 species